UUUAACCGGACCUUUCUACCUAAAGCCUCUUUGUCAUUUAGCGGGUUUUCGUAUAAAUUUGAAUGUAUUGAAAUUAGCUAUUUUGCCGCUUUGCACGAAGAAACAGUGAACGCUUUCAAUGGCGUCGUCAUCGUCACGAUCGCUGGUUUCUUCCUAUACCUUUGAUGAUAAAGACCUAGAAGACGCUGAUUUAUGGGCGGUGAUUGAUUCCGCCGCCGCUGCAGCUACUAUCGCCGGGAAAUCUCCGAAACCCUUAGCUAUUAGGUAUCCAAAUUACAAUUCUCCUCCGACGCCUGUUUCGUAUCCUUCUCCACAGUCGAAGGUUCUUCAGAUCCAGAAUCGUAACCCUAAUCUUGCCCGAGGAUUGAAUGAGGAGUCUACGCGUCCGAACAAAAUGGCUAGAUCUCGCGUCUUGUCUGAGGUGAAGAGUGAGAGUCCGAUGGCUCUUGUUACGACGGCGCACCGAAAUUUAACCCCGAAUAUCAUCAAUUCGACUAAGUUUUCUUCUCCGGAGAGUUACUUGUCGCCUGGAAUUCGGCAGUCUACUCCCUUUGCGGAGGUUUCUCCGUCAGCGAGCUGUGUUAAGAACGAUCCGGUUAAUGAGAUGCGACAUAGCUUGUCUGGGAGCUUUCCUUCUGCUACUCUGUUCAAGGAGUACCAGAAUACAGCAAUGGCGAUUCUAGAAAAAUCUGACUACACGAUGAUCUCAGGGAAGGCAUACAUUAAAAAGUCAGGUGAAGAUUAUGCUUGUUGUCCGCUUAUUGUAUAUCUUAUACAUUCGAAAUUGGUUCUGAUGCUGCAUUUUAUGGAAAU